AGGCUUGGGGCCGCAUCACACUGUCUCUUGUCUCUUCACAAAGGUGAAGCCAACCUGCUCCCACCAGAGCCCGGCAAUGGCCAAUAAGAGAGCAGUGAUGAGUUUAAGGAAGGGGACACAGGAAGCAGAAGAGAAGAGGGAAAAUUCAGUUUCAUCUGCCAAGAUUGGCCUGUACAUUCUAGAAUUGCUUCUUGGCUCCUGGAACAUCAUAUGCAGGAAGAGAACAGAGACAGCAAAGCCAUGGAGUCAGCCCAGCUCAGGGAGGAGAGGUCUCCAGCGACUGGGGCAUCUGGCCCUGGGAAGCGCGACCCAGACUCUCAGCUUCUCAACACAGCACAUCCUUCCCCACUUGGACAUACAGGGUGCACCUGUCAGGAGGAGGUGCCAACCAGGUCUCCUGAGUGAGCUGGCGUGGUGAUCCCGUGUGGAGUCAAAGUCCUUCUGUCCCCCCACCCCACCCCAUUUUCCAAGUCUGAACAGCCCACCUGCCUGGUAAUCACCAGGCCUUAGACCAGCGAGCCCAAGAAUUUGGAGGAAUGAGCUGGGGCUUCUGGGAAACCCUGGGCCACUUGGACUGCCUGCCUCGGUUUCUUCAUUUGCCUGCCCAUCUCACUGGUGUGCUUGAGGACCCCGGAAGAUCAUGCCUGUGAAGGGCUUUGAGAGUAACCAGGGGCUAUUCUGGAGGAACGUGUAGGAACUGGGUGUGCUGAGGGCACUGGGAGGGCCAUAGGGACAGCUGGAGAGGUUUCUGCUGCAGCCACAAGCCACUCAUUACAUGCUUGCUCUGUGUAUGUAGGAGCAUGCCGUGGUCCCCAGUGACAGGUGGGGAGACAUGGAGUAAGGACCCUGCUUCACGUUGCAUCACCAGUCUAGCUGGGGUGGCACAGGCCAGCAUCCUGCAGCAGGAUCUGGCACAGGAGAGGGGAUUGGGGAGGCCCUGCAGGCCUCAGGCCCCCUCCCCCGAGGAAGACCCUCCAACCGCACAGGUGCAACAGCGCCAGCCUGAAGGGAGCUGAGGAGGGCACAGGUGCGCCGUGUGGGGAGGCUCAGGGCCAGCUUUGCUAGGAGGACUUCCGGGCAGGGAAUGGGACAGUGAGGCCCAGGGAGGGUGUUCGGGGCACAGGGACCCACAGGUGGCUGGACAGUAAGGUGAAGA